rnacentral:rRNA from 1 species
GAGUUUGAUCCUGGCUCAGGACGAACGCUGGCGGCGUGCUUAACACAUGCAAGUCGAACGAUGAAGUUAUGACGGAGGCUUCGGCCGACUGAAUGAUGGAUUAGUGGCGGACGGGUGAGUAACGCGUGAGUAACCUGCCUUUCAGAGAGGAAUAACAUUUGGAAACGAAUGGUAAUACCACAUAACAUUACGUUCUCGCAUGGGGAUGUAAUCAAAGAUUUAUCGCUGAGAGAUGGACUCGCGUCCGAUUAGCUAGAUGGUGAGGUAACGGCCCACCAUGGCGACGAUCGGUAGCCGGACUGAGAGGUUGAACGGCCACAUUGGGACUGAGACACGGCCCAGACUCCUACGGGAGGCAGCAGUGGGGAAUAUUGCACAAUGGGGGAAACCCUGAUGCAGCAACGCCGCGUGAAGGAAGACGGUCUUCGGAUUGUAAACUUUUGUUCUUGGUGAAGAAUAAUGACGGUAGCCAAGGAGGAAGCCACGGCUAACUACGUGCCAGCCGCCGCGGUAAUAC